rnacentral:rRNA from 1 species
AUUGAUUUUAUGCUUGCAUAAAUGAUUUUUGGAUUCGGAGCGAGUGGCGAACUGGUGAGUAACACGUGGGUAACCUGCCCCGAAGCGGGGGAUAACAUUUGGGAACAAGUGCUAAUACCGCAUAAUUAGUUGGAACCGCAUGGUUCCAACUUGAAAGAUGGCUCUGCUAUCACUUUGGGAUGGACCCGCGCCGUAUUAGUUAGUUGGUGAGAUAAAAGCCCACCAAGACGAUGAUACGUAGCCGACCUGAGAGGGUAAUCGGCCACAUUGGGACUGAGACACGGCCCAGACUCCUACGGGAGGCAGCAGUAGGGAAUCUUCCACAAUGGACGAAAGUCUGAUGGAGCAACGCCGCGUGAGUGAUGAAGGUUUUCGGAUCGUAAAACUCUGUUGUUAAAGAAGAACAAGUGUUAGAGUAACUGUUAACACUUUGACGGUAUUUAACCAGAAAGCCACGGCUAACUACGUGCCAGCAGCCGCGGUAAUACGUAGGUGGCAAGCGUUGUCCGGAUUUAUUGGGCGUAAAGCGAGCGCAGGCGGUUUUGUAAGUCUGCUGUGAAAGCCCUCAGCUCAACUGAGGAAGUGCAGUGGAAACUACAAAACUUGAGUACAGAAGAGGAAAGUGGAACUCCAUGUGUAGCGGUGAAAUGCGUAGAUAUAUGGAAGAACACCAGUGGCGAAGGCGGCUUUCCGGUCUGUUACUGACGCUGAGGCUCGAAAGCAUGGGUAGCGAACAGGAUUAGAUACCCUGGUAGUCCAUGCCGUAAACGAUGAAUACUAGGUGUUGGAGGGUUUCCGCCCUUCAGUGCCGCAGCUAACGCAUUAAGUAUUCCGCCUGGGGAGUACGACCGCAAGGUUGAAACUCAAAGGAAUUGACGGGGGCCCGCACAAGUGGUGGAGCAUGUGGUUUAAUUCGAUGCUACGCGAAGAACCUUACCAGCUCUUGACAUCUUCUGCCAACCCAAGAGAUUGGGCGUUCCCUUCGGGGACAGAAUGACAGGUGGUGCAUGGUUGUCGUCAGCUCGUGUCGUGAGAUGUUGGGUUAAGUCCCGCAACGAGCGCAACCCUUAUUAUUAGUUGCCAGCAUUUAGUUGGGCACUCUAGUGAGACUGCCGGUGAUAAA